rnacentral:rRNA from 1 species
GAUCAUGGCUCAGGAUGAACGCUGGCGGCGUGCUUAAUACAUGCAAGUCGAACGAAGCACCUUGGACAGAAUCCUUCGGGAGGAAGACCAUUGUGACUGAGUGGCGGACGGGUGAGUAACGCGUGGGUAACCUGCCUUGUACAGGGGGAUAACAGUUGGAAACGACUGCUAAUACCGCAUAAGCGCACAGUACCGCAUGGUACGGUGUGAAAAACUCCGGUGGUACAAGAUGGACCCGCGUCUGAUUAGCUUGUUGGUGAGGUAACGGCCCACCAAGGCGACGAUCCAUAGCCGACCUGAGAGGGUGACCGGCCACAUUGGGACUGAGACACGGCCCAAACUCCUACGGGAGGCAGCAGUGGGGAAUAUUGCACAAUAGGGGAAACCCUGAUGCAGCGACGCCGCGUGAGUGAUGAAGUAUUUCGGUAUGUAAAACUCUAUCAGCGGGGAAGAUAAUGACGGUACCUGACUAAGAAGCACCGGCUAAAUACGUG